rnacentral:rRNA from 1 species
AUUGAACGCUGGCGGCAUGCCUUACACAUGCAAGUCGAACGGUAACGCGGGGCAACCUGGCGACGAGUGGCGCACGGGUGAGUAAUACAUCGGAACGUGCCCAGUAGGGGGGGAUAGCCCGGCGAAAGCCGGAUUAAUACCGCAUACGACCUACGGGAGAAAGCGGGGGAUCGCAAGACCUCGCGCUAUUGGACCGGCCGAUGUCAGAUGAGCUAGUUGGUGGGGUAAAAGCCUACCAAGGCGACGAUCGGUAGCCGGUCUUAGAGGAGGACCAGCCACACUGGGACUGAGACACGGCCCAGACUCCUACGGGAGGCAGCAGUGGGCAAUUUUGGACAAUGGGGGCAACCCUGAUCCAGCCAUGCCGCGUGCGGGAAGAAGGCCUUCGGGUUGUAAACCGCUUUUGUCGGGGAAGAAACGGUCUGCGCUAAUACCGCAGACUAAUGACGGUACCCGAAGAAUAAGCACCGGCUAACUACGUGCCAGCAGCCGCCGUAAAAC